rnacentral:rRNA from 1 species
AAGCGCUCCACACCAUUCGUUCCUUUUCCUUAUCCCCUCGCUCAUCUUCUUCCCAUGUGGCUCUCCCAAAUAAAUUCUCGCUGGUGAUGACCGCCGUUGAUGUCGGGAGCAGCCGUCGUCCACCAGCCCGGUGCUGCUCCGGUGAGUGGCCGCCAUCCACCCGCCCCGCGCUGCUCCGGCGGGCAUCUGCCCAUCCACCACCGCAGCCAUGUGGCAACCCAGCUUGCGGCGCGGAGUGGGGUGCUUCAACCAGCGGCGAGCGGGAGUGGCAGCCGUUGGCGACCGAGGAUGACCGCAGGCUGCCACCGGGUGCUGCAACCGACAAGCAAUUUUGCUGGAACCACGGCAACAAGUGUGGCAGAUCCGAUGAACAAGGGAAGGCCAUGGAGUUGAUUUGCUGGGACGGUGGACGGCGGUGGCGGCGGAGCUGCAACGGCGGUUGGUGGUAGGGAUGCGAUUGUGUGCCCCCGUGCUGCAACCACGGGGCGGUUGGGAGUUCCAAUGACAACCUCGAACACGGCGGUGACCUCGCGCGCGCGACGACGACGACUUGUUUGCGGCGCGCUGGCACGAGCCACCGACGGCAAGCGCAGGUCACGGGGCGGCCGACGAGCGCAUUGUUGUGCGACCGUGCGGGAGGCCGGGAGUGCGGAUGAAGACGACCAGAUGCGCUGGGUCGCGUUGGGCUCUAUCCUCUUUUUUUUUCUGCGAGAUGAACGCAAGAUCGUACGGUCUGAAAGCGAUGUAUCGUGUGGUAGGGCAGUGACCAGCCCAAAUUUAGGCCGGUGCGCCGGCGCCUAUCACUCGCCCUUUUUUAUACGCGGAAGAUGUUCUUAUGUUAUUGGCGACAGCGCUCGUGCCAUUCCCUUCCCUCAUCAGAGAAGCAGGUACUUUCCCGCAAAACAGAAAAGAGAAAAUAAAAUAGAAGCAGGUAGUAUACCAAUAUUCAAAAAAAGUACUCCCUCCAUCCGAAAAUACUUGUCAUCAAAAUGAAUAAAAGGGAAUGUAUCUAGAUGUAUUUUAGUUUUAGAUAUAUUUUUUUGUCCAUUUUGAUGACAAGUAUUUUGGGACGGAGGGAGUAUUCAGUAAGCGACGAUCGAGCUCCUGCUGUGCCUCGUUGUGAGGCACCACCGACCGAACAGUCUGGACUGCAAGACCCAACCCGAAUAUGCAGGCGAAGGGCAUUUGGCAACUCGCAUGUAGGGCCGCGGGCGUAGCAGGCCCAGUGACAACGCUAUAGCCCAACCACCUACACUGUCGAUGAGCUGGUGGUGCAAAUUCUUCUGCACAUGCUGUGUGUUAUUGCGUCACAGUACUACUCUUCUUGGACCUGCCCUGAUAUGUAAACAAAAUGCCAACUCAAACCAGCCAUAAAAAGAAGAAAAGAAACGUUGUUAGAUGAUUUGUAUAUACUCAGCAUAGCAAUUGGGAUCCUCUCCUGUACCCAGUAAGUUCUUUUUUCUUCCCUUUUUUGAGUGGAUGGUACCCAGUAAGUUCUUAGUAUUACAAAACUAUCGUAUCGUCCGUACUGUAGAGAUAUCUAAGAUACCCAUAUCCUCGGGCAAAUUGAGAUGUGAAUUCAUAUAGGUCGUACACCGGUGUAAUUGAGGCAUGUUUGGUUACCUGUAUUGUUUUUAGGUUGUUUGCAUUUGUGACACUCCUGGGUCUAGCUGAGUGAAUGCAGG